UCGUGGGGUCGGGGUAUUGGGAUGUAGUUUUGUGACUUGUAGCGCCAAUAGUGUGGGGCUGCAAUAGGAUGGUGACAGCUUAGUUUUUCACCGCUGAAUUUAUGGAUUCCGGACUACCGGGAUUCAAUCGGGGCGUUCCGAGGGGAAGCACUAGAUUUCGCGGGUGGGAAUUACGAUGGCAAGAUUGAAACUCAAAGGAAUUGGCGGGGGUCCGCGCAAGCGUGGGAGCAUGUGGUUUAAUUCGAAGAUACGCGAGGAACGUUACCUGGGUAGAAAUGCAUUUCGACACUGGGUGAAAGCUCAUUUUAUAGCAAUAUGCAAUUGGUAAGGUGCUGCAUGGCUGUCGUCAGCUCGUGCCGUGAGGUGUUGGGUUAAGUCCCGCAACGAGCGCAACCCCCAUCACUAGUUGCCAUCAGGUAACGCUGGGAACUCUAGUGAAACUGCCGUCGUAAGACGUGAGGAAGGAGGGGAUGAUGUCAAGUCAUCAUGGCCUUUAUGCCCAGGGCUACACACGUGCUACAAUGGGGCGUACAAAGGGCUGCAACACAGUGAUGUGAAGCUAAUCCCAAAAAACGCCUGUCAGUUCAGAUUGGAGUGUGCAACUAGAGUCCAUGAAGUUGGAAUCGAUAGUAAUUGUAGAUCAGCAACGCUACGGUGAAUAGGUUCCCGGACAUUGCACACUCCGCCCGUCAAGCCUUGGAAGCUGGGUGUACGUCAAGUCGGUAACCGCAGGGAGCGGCAUGAGGGUAAACCUAGUGUGUGGGGGAAAGUGGAUCCAAGUUUA
rnacentral:rRNA from 1 species